UAGCGUCGGCACUGAUUUGCCGUCGCCAAGCCAAUGGUGCAAUAUUUGCUUCGGCAAAACAUGCAGUGGCCAAAAUUGCUUCGGCAAAACAUGCCGUCACCAAUGGUCUAGUAUUUGCUUUGGUAAAACGUGCCGUCGCCCAAAAUUGCUUCAGCAAUAUAAGGCCGUCGUAGUAAUUGCGACUGCCUGUGGUUUCCGUCGCCAUAUCCUCUUUUACUCUGCAUUAAGCACCAACCCUAGACAUCAUAUUUGACAAGGAAAAAAAAUAGACAUCGAACCGGCCAACCACUUCAAGCACAAGUCCUCUCUCUCUCUCUCUCUCUCAAUCUCGCCAUCGACACCAGUACUUUUGAGAAGCUGCCAUCGCCGCCACCAGGAUCUCUGUCACUGUCGCCGCUGGUGUCAGGAUGUAAUCUCCACCAUCAUCACUUUGUGGUCAAUUUGAGAUCUGAAUAUUUUUCGACUCAGUGGUUAGUCUCCGACGAGAUUUGAUAUCUAAUCUUGAUAGUUGUUCACAUUGUGAAGAUUAUCAUUUAUUGAUUUUGUUUCAUGAGAUAAAUUGGCGAAGCCCUGGCUACCUCCUUCAAGCUUUUUCUGCAAUUUUUCUUUUGUUUUGAAAUGUUAGGGCUUUUACUGCAAAGAACUGUAUGUCUCUGUCUUCUGUGAAAUUGGAAAGGAUUUCAGACAAAUCAAUUAGUUUUGUUUUAGUUUCUACUGAAUUACUGAUAAUAGUUGUGGCCCUGUGGGUACCCAAUUCAGUAAUCAUGAAAAGUUUGAAGCUUUUGUGAGACUGAUUUGGUGGUUUUGAUGUUACAGUUUGUGUUUUGAAUUGGAGUUUGAGGAGGUUAGAAUAAAAAAAAUUUAUGCUUUUGAUUUUUGCAAAGGCCAAAGUUUGUUUUGGUAAGUAAGCUUUGAGAAAGAACUGCUUUGAGAAUGAAAAAUAAACAAGCCAAUUUCAUUUGUUAGGAUCGUUGCUAUUGUUAUUAUUAUCCAUUAAUAAAAGGUCUUUCAAAUAGAGAAAGGAUUAGAAUUGUGUAUGUGAACUUAAUUAAGGCAAUCAGGUCUUGCAUUUCUUGCAUAUGCUAUAAGCUGACCGUGGAUACUAGACAGUUCAUCUGAUUAGUUAUGCAAAAUAGAUAAACAAAGAACACAUAGAAGUGGAUAACCAAUUGUUCUCUGCGUUUUUUCGGAGGUCACUGGCACGAGGAGCGUGGAUUCUCAUACAACGCAUAUAAUUAAGGACUUUAUAAAGCUGCCUCAUUUUGCAACCUGCUUUUAUUUCUUUAUACCGGAAGGUAUAGGACUCUUAUUGAAAGAGCUUUAAGAGCUAGGCUGGUCUAUGGGAGCCCAAUCAUGAACCGAGCAGUUAGCUUUGAGUACAUGAACCGGAAGUUAGUAUGGAAUGAAUUCUCGCGAGUAUUUCCGCAAUUGUAAUCCAUUUGACAAAGCAAAAGCAUCAUGAGAGUUUUGGAUUUGCAAAGGGAAGUUCUAGAUUUUGAUCUACCGAUCCAGGUCCAUAGUUGAAAAGGGUCUUUGGGAUGACUUCUUCCCCCUCAAAGGCGGUGGGUUUCUGCAUAUGAAAUUGCAGUUUUUACUCAAUGAAGAAGAGCGCAAUCAAAUCCAUGUGAUGCGAGAAUCUGCUGUGAAAAAGAAGCAUGGGGAGUUCAUUCAUAGCAGUCCCAUUAUUAUGCUCCUACAGCUCUGUUUAGAUAUGAAAUGAUGAUUUGCUUUCUCUUCAAAGGUUGCAUGAUGAAAAUGAAGGGUGUUUGGUAUAUUCACAGAGAAAGCAUCUUUGGCUGCACCACCACAGGUCUCUCCCUUUUCUUUUCCUACCCUCCCUCUACCUCAAAAUCUCAUUGUACUGAAAAGUAUCAAUUUAAUGUCACUAUCCACUGCAUUUCUCACAGUUCUAGGUUCUAAUGAAAUUAAAUAUGACUGAAACUUGCAAGAAUGAUCUGUUAGGUGUUUAUCAGUUGAUGGUAAGAAUCAUGAAGAUUUGGAUAUCUAUAGUAAUACUGAAGAGAAGUCUAGACAUUCACUUUACAACAAAUACUUAUAAAAAGAAAAAAAAAAUGUUGUGCUAAAAUAAACAAAAAUAACUGUGACAGUAAAGACUUUCAAAGUUUAAAGGUUCACCAAUCAUCAUCCAAAAUGUCAUACCACUGUACUUGAUUAUUGUGCAGUGGAGGGAGGGAUUGUGCUUGAUAAGAGGUAUGUAUGCCGUUCAUGAAUCUGUCUUGUAUAUUUGCCUUUAUUUAUCUUAUAUGAUCAAUCUACUGCCUCUGUCCUGUUCAAUUGCUUCUUUGCCAUCACUCUCCUAGCAGCAAUCAAUAGUUUAGGUGAUUUCCUGUGAGUGGAAUACUUUAUCAAAGGCCUUAGUUGAUUUCUGAAGGAACAACAAUAAGCAGCUAGUGAACUACUCACACUUGCUGAAUGCUGACUCAAAAAUUAAAAAAGUAUCUUAAGAGUUCAAGUGAAAUAUUGAAUUUACAGGAGGCUCGCAACAAAACUAGAGUAAUUGGUACGUGAAGUACAUAGAUCGAAGAAGAUUUCUGCAAAGUUUAUCUUGAAGUAGUGGAAAAUAACUAACUUAUAAAAUUUAAUUAUCUUGUAAACUUUGGUAGAAGCUUCAUUCCAUUUGUAGCAUUCAUGAGGAAAAUUAAAAUGUAACAUUUUCUUUUAUAUUAGCUUCAUUCCUUUUUGUAUAGCUUUUAUCCAUAAAAAAGAAAAAAAAAUUGGCAUGUAAAUGCUUCAUUCCUUUUUGUAUAGCUUUUUAUCCAACAAAAAAAAAAAUUGGCAUGCAUAUUUGCAUGCUAAUUUUUUUUUAAUUUAAAAAUACUACUUUUACGACGGCAGUUUUGCCGUAGCAAAUUUCUUUUGGUGACAGCAAAAAACUUUAGUAGUGAUUGGUGGUGUCGCUAUUGGUAUUUGCAACGGCAUUUUUCAGUUGCAAAAUUCUUACGACGGCAAAUGGUUUGCCGUCGCUAAUAAUCUUGCCACGACGCAAUUGCCGUCGCAAAUACUAUUGGCGACGCCACCAAUUGCGUCUGAAGCAUUGCCGUCGCAGAGCCGUCGCCAAUGCUCUUUUGCGACGGCAAAAGAUGCUUUUGCCACGGCAUGGCACCGUGGCUGUUGCAAUUUUUUUUUGUAGUGGUAGGGCUGGUGAGGAUGAUUGUACCUUUGUGACUAUGGUACGUUGGCUGCUUAUCGAGCAAACGGACAUGGGUACGGUCUAUGUCUUCCUCUGUUGAUUCAUUGUUAUAUAGGGCCAUUGAGCUUUGUGACGAGUAUAGGACUGUUAUGGAGGUGAGCCAAGUUCUUCUCUUACAGUACGUACUCACAAAUUUUGGAGUCCUCCACCUUUGCAUUAUUGCAAACUAAAUGCUUAUUGAUGAAGCAGCAUCGAAGAUGGCCUAAUGGUUCGCGGUGGAGGGGCAAUGAUGCGUAAUAUUGAUGGGUGAAGUAGCAAACUGAGAAGCUUGUGAAGUUUCUAUGCUUCCUUAGUUGCCUUCAUGUACGUGGUCAAUCUCGUCAAUUCAGAGGAGCUUUGUUUGGCAACGAGAGGUUUAUUGUAGAGGAGAAUAAGGUUUGAGAUGUUUCCCUUAAUGAAUGUGGAAUAUCCUGUAAGCCUCGAGACGUACUGUAAUGUAGUUGCUCAUUAAUUUGUGUUAUCCACAAGGGUGGUGGUGUUUUCUUUUGGUCAGAGGAUGACUCUAUAUUACUCAUGGCCUUGAUAUUUAUGUACUCUCUCCCAUAACUUUUGGGGUUUUGGUUUUACCUCCUCACAUCGUAUAAUGUUUCAUCUCCGCGUAAUAAUA